rnacentral:rRNA from 1 species
GACGAAGGGGGCUAGCGUUGUUCGGAAUUAUUGGGCGUAAAGAGCUCGUAGGCGGUCAGUCGCGUCUGCUGUGAAAAACUCGGGGCUUAACUCCGGGCCUGCAGUGGGUACGGGCUGACUAGAGUGCGGUAGGGGGAGACUGGAAUUCCUGGUGUAGCGGUGAAAUGCGCAGAUAUCAGGAGGAACACCGGUGGCGAAGGCGGGGUCUCUGGGCCGUAACUGACGCUGAGGAGCGAAAGCGUGGGGAGCGAACAGG